GGUUAAGCGACUAAGCGUACACGGUGGAUGCCCUGGCAGUCAGAGGCGAUGAAGGACGUGCUAAUCUGCGAAAAGCGUCGGUAAGGUGAUAUGAACCGUUACAGCCGGCGAUGUCCGAAUGGGGAAACCCAGUGCAAUUCGUUGCACUAUCGUUAACUGAAUACAUAGGUUAACGAGGCGAACCGGGGGAACUGAAACAUCUAAGUACCCCGAGGAAAAGAAAUCAACCGAGAUUCCCCCAGUAGCGGCGAGCGAACGGGGAGCAGCCCGGAGUCUGAAUCAGCUUGUGUGUUAGUGGAAGCGUCUGGAAAGUCGCAGGGUACAGGGUGAUACUCCCGUACACUAAAACACACAGGCUGUGAACUCGAAGAGUAGGGCGGGACACGUGGUAUCCUGUCUGAAUAUGGGGGGACCAUCCUCCAAGGCUAAAUACUCCUGACUGACCGAUAGUGAACCAGUACCGUGAGGGAAAGGCGAAAAGAACCCCGGCGAGGGGAGUGAAAAAGAACCUGAAACCGUGUACGUACAAGCAGUAGGAGCCCACUAGUUGGGUGACUGCGUACCUUUUGUAUAAUGGGUCAGCGACUUAUAUUCUGUAGCAAGGUUAACCGAAUAGGGGAGCCGCAGGGAAACCGAGUCUUAACUGGGCGUUAAGUUGCAGGGUAUAGACCCGAAACCCGGUGAUCUAGCCAUGGGCAGGUUGAAGGUUGGGUAACACUAACUGGAGGACCGAACCGACUAAUGUUGAAAAAUUAGCGGAUGACUUGUGGCUGGGGGUGAAAGGCCAAUCAAACCGGGAGAUAGCUGGUUCUCCCCGAAAGCUAUUUAGGUAGCGCCUCGUGAA
rnacentral:rRNA from 1 species